AACGAACGCUGGCGGCAUGCCUAACACAUGCAAGUCGAACGAGUCCUUCGGGCUUAGUGGCGCACGCGUCCGUAGCGCGUGGGAACCUGCCCUUAAGUUCGGAAUAACUCCCCGAAUGGGGUCCUAAUACGGGAUCAUGUCUUCGGACCAAAGAUUUAUCGCCUUUGAAUGGGCCUGCGUUGUAUUACCUAGUUGUUAGGCUAAAACCCUCCCAAGGGUAGGUUACGUAGCUGGUAUGAGAGGAUGGUCAGCCACACUGGGGCUGGGAAACGGCCCAGAAUCCUAGGGGAGGCAGCAGUGGGGGAUAUUGGCAAAUGGGCGAAAGGAUGAACCAGCAAUGACGGGUGAGUGAUGAAGGCCUUAGGGUUGUAAAGCUAUUUUACCCGGGAUGAUAAUGACAGUACCGGGAGAAUAAGCUCCGGCUAACUCCGUG
rnacentral:rRNA from 1 species